UACGUAGGUGACAAGCGUUGUCCGGAAUUACUGGGCGUAAAGAGCGCGCAGGCGGUCGUUCAAGUCGCGUGUGAAAGCCCCCGGCUCAACUGGGGAGGGUCACGCGAUACUGAUCGACUCGAAGGCAGGAGAGGGUAGUGGAAUUCCCGGUGUAGUGGUGAAAUGCGUAGAUAUCGGGAGGAACACCAGUGGCGAAGGCGACUACCUGGCCUGUUCUUGACGCUGAGGCGCGAAAGCUAGGGGAGCAAACAGG
rnacentral:rRNA from 1 species